rnacentral:tRNA from 1 species
AAGGGUGUAGCUCAGUGGUAGAGUGCGUGCUGAGCAUGCACAAGAUCCUGGGUUCAAUCCCCAGUACCUCCA